CCCCCCCGUUCCCCCCCCAGCCGCACAGGCCCCCCUGAAGCCCAAGACGCCGCGCGGCACCAAGACCCCCAUCAACCGCAACCAGCUGAGCCAGAGCCGGGGGCUGGCGGGGCUGGUGGGCAAGCGGGGCUACGAGGGGGCAGCCGAGGGCCACCGGCCCCCCCGCCUGCGGGUGGGCGCGGCGGCUCUCCCGUUCUCCGCCAACGGGCGCCCCGUGGCCGCGGGGCUGCGCGCCGGGCCCCCCCCCGCCAGCAAGCGCCAGAAGCUGAACCCAGCGGACGCCCCCAACCCGUGGUGUUCGUGGCCACCAAGGACACCAGGGCGCUUCGCAAGGCCCUGACGCACCUGGAGCUCCGCCGCGCCGCCCGCCGCCCCAACCUCCCCCUCAAGGUCAAGCCGCUACGGCCCGGGGGGGCCCUGGCGCCCCCCGCCCCCCCCCACACCCCGCCAGCACCUCGGAGCCCAUUGUCCUGGAGGACUGACCCCCCCCCCCCCCCCAUUAUCCCCAACUGCGCCCCUUUUGUAUUUUUUUAAUCUCCAUAGAAACCACAGCGGGGGGGCGGGGUCUAUUCUGCCCCCCCCCCCCCCGCCCCCCCCCGCCACCCCACCCGUGACCCCUUUUGUACGUGGAGCGAUGCCCCCCCCCCUCCCCUCCCCCCCGGUUUUGUAUCUCGGGCCGUCCCGGUUCUGUAGGCACAGGAAAUAAAGCCGGCGGUUUUUCUUGA